rnacentral:lncRNA from 1 species
CUGUGAUUGAGCAAUUUACAGAAAACGAGGGGUGGGAAUGAUAUUUAUACAAUGUAAGUGAUAUUCUUUUUCAAAGACAAGAACAGGAUCCAACUGCUUAUCACUUAAAUCCCACUUAAGGGCUAUAUGAAAUCCACAUAGUGGCUGAGCAAUUGUAGCGUUAUAGGUCCGUCCGUCCCCCGCGCGCUUUAAAGCAUCAGCUCAACUGUUAGGGGAGUAUAGGGAAAGUACCAUUGAAAUGGCUUAGCUGGGCAAUGUGGACAGUUAUAGAAAAUACCCUUGUAAGAGUUGUGAGGGAUGCUUAACCAACAGGGUCUAUUUCAGCUCAAUCAAAGAUUAAAAUCUGUGACAGGGAGGAAAUUGAGGAACUGGGUUCCAUUCCCAUUUCAAAGUCAUUCUUUGAAAUCACACUUCCACAAAUUUUACAGUGCCAUUCUCCAGCCUAAAAUGCACACUUUAUGGUAAAGUGUGUAGUGGGAGGCCCCAUUAGCUAAAGUGGCACCUCAGGUUAAGAACAGUUUCAGGUUAAGAACAGACCUCCAGAACGAAUUAAGUUCUUAACCUGAGGUACCACUGUAAGGCGAAAUUGUUGUGGAAGAGAAUGUAUUGUAGGCAACAUCAGGUAACGUUGUUUUCUCCUUCUCUCACAAUAGCUGAACUUGGAAUCAUGCAAUCAAGCAGGAUGUUGGAAGUUUCUGCCUGUGUUGUGUUAUUCCUGUAUUGCAAGGGGUUGGACUAGAGGACCCUCAGGGUCCCAUUCAACUCUACAAUUCUGUAACAGCAGAAUCGGAACCCAAGCAAACACUCUGUGAGGGCCCCACCCCCUGGUUGCCUGCAAUUCUAUAGCCUCUGAAAUGCACCACUAAAAUUAGGAGGUGAAAGGAAGCAUGAUUGUUCUCAAGGAUCACAGAGCACAUGCAUGGAGAACAAACAGCCACUGUGCACCCAGAGUUCCACUACAGCCCUUACAGGGAAAGAGCCAACUAUUCAACAGCUAUGAGACCUACCCCAUGCCCAGUUCCUUGCAGAUCAUGAGGAAGGCCCACAACCAUGAGCCCUGGAGGUUUGCCAGCCUAUUUGCUCCACACAGGUUCCUCCUUGCUCCUGACCGGCAAAAGACUCUUUCUUUGACACAGUACAUCUUCAACACUUGUCCCAAGGAGUCCUGUGUGUCCUCUCUGUAG